rnacentral:rRNA from 1 species
UACGAAGGGGGCUAGCGUUGUUCGGAUUUACUGGGCGUAAAGCGCACGUAGGCGGAUUGGUCAGUUAGGGGUGAAAUCCUGGAGCUCAACUCCAGAACUGCCUUUAAUACUGCCAGUCUCGAGUCCGGAAGAGGUAAGUGGAACUCCUAGUGUAGAGGUGGAAUUCGUAGAUAUUAGGAAGAACACCAGUGGCGAAGGCGGCUUACUGGUCCGGUACUGACGCUGAGGUGCGAAAGCGUGGGGAGCAACAGG